GACUCUCGACAGCAGAUAUCUCGACUCUCGCAUCGAUGAAGAGCGUGGCGAAAUCACGAUACUUGGUGUGAAUUGUAGAAUCCGUGAACCAUCGAAUCUUUGAGCGCAAGUUGCGCCCCAAGCCAUUAAGCCGAGGGCACGCGUCUGCUGGGUGUCA